rnacentral:rRNA from 1 species
GGCCAGACUCCUACGGGAGGCAGCAGUGGGGAAUAUUGCACAAUGGGGGAAACCCUGAUGCAGCGACGCCGCGUGAGUGAAGAAGUAUUUCGGUAUGUAAAGCUCUAUCAGCAGGAAAGAAAAUGACGGUACCUGACUAAGAAGCCCCGGCUAACUACGUGCCAGCAGCCGCGGUAAUACGUAGGGGGCAAGCGUUAUCCGGAUUUACUGGGUGUAAAGGGAGCGUAGACGGUGAAGCAAGUCUGAAGUGAAAGGCGGGGGCUCAACCCCCGGACUGCUUUGGAAACUGUUUGACUGGAGUGCAGGAGAGGUAAGUGGAAUUCCUAGUGUAGCGGUGAAAUGCGUAGAUAUUAGGAGGAACACCAGUGGCGAAGGCGGCUUACUGGGCUGUAACUGACGUUGAGGCUCGAAAGCGUGGGGAGCAAACAGGAUUAGAUACCCUAGUAAC